GGAGAGAUGGCAGAGUGGUCGAAUGCGGCGGUCUUGAAAACCGUUGAUCUUCACGGAUCCGGGGGUUCGAAUCCCUCUCUCUCCGCCC
rnacentral:tRNA from 1 species